GACGAACGCUGGCGGCGUGCUUAACACAUGCAAGUCGAACGGAAAGGCCCUGCUUUUGUGGGGUGCUCGAGUGGCGAACGGGUGAGUAACACGUGAGUAACCUGCCCUUGACCUUGGGAUAACUUCAGGAAACUGGGGCUAAUACCGGAUAGGAGCUCCUGCUGCAUGGUGGGGGUUGGAAAGUUUCGGCGGUUGGGGAUGGACUCGCGGCUUAUCAGCUUGUUGGUGGGGUAGUGGCUUACCAAGGCUUUGACGGGUAGCCGGCCUGAGGGGGUGACCGGCCACAUUGGGACUGAGAUACGGCCCAGACUCCUACGGGAGGCAGCAGUGGGGAAUAUUGCACAAUGGGCGGAAGCCUGAUGCAGCAACGCCGCGUGCGGGAUGACGGCCUUCGGGUUGUAAACCGCUUUCGCCUGUGACGAAGCGUGAGUGACGGUAAUGGGUAAAGAAGCACCGGCUAACUACGUG
rnacentral:rRNA from 1 species